rnacentral:rRNA from 1 species
CAGCACCUCAAGUGGUCAGGAUGAUCAUUGGGCCUAAAGCAUCCGUAGCCGGCUCUGUAAGUUUUCGGUUAAAUCUGUACGCUCAACGUACAGGCUGCCGGGAAUACUGCAGAGCUAGGGAGUGGGAGAGGUAGACGGUACUCGGUAGGAAGGGGUAAAAUCCUUUGAUCUAUUGAUGACCACCUGUGGCGAAGGCGGUCUACCAGAACACGUCCGACGGUGAGGGAUGAAAGCUGGGGGAGCAAACCGGAUUAGAUACCCGAGUAGUCC